AAUUCUACUCCCCACCUCCACGUCCUCCUCCGGCUCAGCCUUCUUCUUCUUCUUCUUCCCCUUCCCCCUCCCAAACCGCCAAUAUCAGGUCAAUUUUGUCAUUUCACACGCAAUAUCUCUGUUUUGUCUCGCUGUCUGUAUACAUCGUACAUUUGAAACUCUGAUUGUUUUAUGGUUUCUAUUUAAUUUCACCUUUUUUUUUUGUGGACUUUAGACCAACUAAUAAUUCAGACGUUCCCACAUCAUCAUCACCAUCGUCCACGCCCUCAACUUCAGCUAAUCGAAAUGCUAUACUUGUGAGUCAUAGACAGGUAAGAUUUAAUUUGCUUUCAUAUACUCUUCAACAUUGCAUCUGGAUAAAUUCGAGGACGGAUAGAAGCUAAGAGUCCCAAACUGCAUAGAGAACCAGUAUCAGUUCCCAAUAAAAGCAAACAGUAUAGGGAACCACGUUCUCUAUCUGUUCGUAAAUCGGCAUUAAAUAAAGAACACCUGAUAUUUAUGUGGAAAACUCCUUGCUCAAGGGAUUAAAAACCACGACCUACCCUAGUAUGAUUUCAACUCCACUAAGCCGAGCAAACUUCAGAUUACAACCUAUUGCAAUCGAGGAAUUAAACUCUUAAUCCCUUACCCCUUGCAAUAACUCUAUUGUACGCCCCUUGCAAUAACUCUAUUACAAAGCAACAAACAUUGACUAACUCUAGUUAAGAAACUAAACCAAACCAUG
rnacentral:lncRNA from 1 species